AACGCACCUUGCGCUCCUCGGUGUUCCGAGGAGCAUGCCUGUUUGAGCGUCAGUAAAUUCUCAACCCCUCUCGAUUAGCUUCGAAAGGGCGCUUGGAUAGUGGGGGCUGCCGGAGAUCUGGACUUUUCGUCUGGGACUCGGGCUCUCCUGAAAUGAAUGGGCUUGCGGUCGGCUUUCGACUAUGCAUGACAAGGCUUUUGGCGUGAUAAUGAUCGCCGCUCGCCGAAGUGCAUGAAUGAAUGGUCCCGUGCCUCUAAUGCGUCGAUGCCUUCUGGCGUCUUCCUUAUUGACUUUUGACCUCAAAUCAGGUAGGACUACCCGCUGAACUUAA
rnacentral:misc_RNA from 1 species